UACGGAGGGGGCUAGCGUUGUUCGGAAUUACUGGGCGUAAAGCGCGCGUAGGCGGCUUUGUAAGUUAGAGGUGAAAGCCCGGAGCUCAACUCCGGAAUAGCCUUUAAGACUGCAUCGCUAGAACGUUGGAGAGGUAAGUGGAAUUCCGAGUGUAGAGGUGAAAUUCGUAGAUAUUCGGAAGAACACCAGUGGCGAAGGCGGCUCACUGGCCCGGUACUGACGCUGAGGUGCGAAAGCGUGGGGAGCAAACAGG
rnacentral:rRNA from 1 species